rnacentral:rRNA from 1 species
GACGAACCGUCCAACCGUUAUUCGGAAUCACUGGGCUUACAGAGUUCGUAGGCGGUCCCAAAAGUUAGGUGUGAAAUCCCUCGGCUCAACCGAGGAACUGCGCUUAAAACUGUGGGACUCGAGGGAGAUAGAGGAAAGCGGAACUGAUGGUGGAGCGGUGAAAUGCGUUGAUAUCAUCAGGAACACCGGUGGCGAAGGCGGGUCUCUGGGCCGAUACUGACGCUGAGGAGCGGAAGCGUGGGGAGCGAACAGG